rnacentral:rRNA from 1 species
UUCGGGGUGCAGCAGGCGCGAAAACUUUGCAAUACACGAAAGUGUGACAGGGCUAUCCCGAGUGCCAUCCGCUGAGGAAGGCUUUUACCCAGUCUAGAACGCUGGGGGAAUAAGGAGAGGGCAAGUCUGGUGUCAGCCGCCGCGGUAAUACCAGCUCUCCGAGUGGUGUGGAUGUUUAUUGGGCCUAAAGCAUCCGUAGCUGGCUAAGUUAGUCCCUUGUUAAAUCCACCGAAUUAAUCGUUGGAUUGCGGGGGAUACUGCUUGGCUAGGGGACGAGAGAGGCAGACGGUAUUUCCGGGGUAGGGGUGAAAUCCUAUAAUCCCGGGAAGACCACCAGUGGCGAAGGCUGUCUGCUAGAACGCGCCCGACGGUGAGGGAUGAAAGCUGGGGGAGCGAACCGGAUUAGAUACCCGGGUAGUCCCAGCUGUAAACGAUGCAGGCUAGGUGUUUGGACGGCCACGUGCCGUUCUAGUGCCGCAGGGAAGCUGUUAAGCCUGCCGCCUGGGGAGUACGAUCGCAAGAUUGAAACUUAAAGGAAUUGGCGGGGGAGCAC